rnacentral:misc_RNA from 1 species
AUAAUGUAAUAAAUAUCUCAAAAAAAAAAAAAAAAAAAAUAUUUAAAAAAAAAAAAAAAAAAAAAAAAAAAAAAAAAAAAAAAAAAAAAAAAAAAAAAAAAUAGGCUGCGAAGAAAUUUUUUACGCAGAUGCAGAUUAUGUUUAGCGCAAGGCGGACGCCAUUUCGAAAACCUUUUGUAAAAAAUAAACAAUAUGUUAAUUAUUUUGUUGUUUUAUUAAUUCUCCAAACUUUUUAUUAAGAUUUAAA